UGGCUGUAUUUAUUUUUCUUAAAUGUCAGCUGCAUGAUGAGUCUCUAGAAUGCCUCUCACACUUUUCAUUUCUUUUCUCCUUUUAUCAUAAUUCAAAGAAAUAUUCUGCAGGAGUUUUGGGGGUUUUUUUGUUACGGUGUAUGUGUGUGUGUAGAGAAUGGAAAAAAACACAAUUCUCAACUUGGAAGAUCUUACAGGCAAAGGAAGAAAGAAUAAUCUGAAAUUGUGGAUGGUGCUUCUCUUUGCUACGACAAAGUCGGUUAUACAAGAAAUCUAUCCAAAAUGGAUUAAAGUCAGAGGGAAUGGUUCCAUUUACUUGGCUGAAAAUUGGAGCAGGCCUGCAGUUUUUCUUCAUAGUGACCUGAGGGAAGAAGUGUCAGAUGUCAAGGAAAUAAACAUCUAUCCGACUUUUAGAAGACAUCUGAAGAGACAUCACAGUUUUGUCCACGAUGAGAAUGUGUGCUUCAAAGCUACAAUGUGAAAUAAAAGGCUGUUUGGCCCUCGUUCCAAAUGGAGACAACAGCAAGUCAAUUCGCAUAUCUGUGAGCCACUCCCUGUUUCAUCAGGCACAUAUCCAUCCAGAAAGGCGGAUGUUCUGGACCUUGGACAAGACGCUUCAUUUCUGUAUUAUCCAAGCCAAUUUGGGGCAUAUGGAAACACUAUGCAGCUUUCCCACUGAAAGGCCAACAAUCCUAGCUCGGAGGUUUGAAAGCAGUCGACAGAGACCUCUUCCUUCUAUCUACUCUUCUCACCUGCCUUGCCACGAAGGCAGGGUCCCACUAUUUGUCUGUUUGGAAUAAGGAGAGAAAGUGAGGUACACACUCCUAAGGCAAGUGUACGGUGAACAUUGGCUAAUUAAAACAAAGCCUUCCCGAAUGCUCCUGACUGCGUACACUUGUCAGGAAAUCUUUAUUAGGAUAUUUAUUCCUGUUGUGCCGCAGAUUGUUUGUAUUAAGUUUCCCCUACCCUGUUUACUGUUCCAGGCGAUUUUGGGUAGAAUUGAAAGUGGAAGAGGUUGAGACAGGGAGCACGAGGCAGAGCAGCUGUCUCGUUCUUUCGAUGUGUGUGUGUAGUAUUUUAAUGUGCUUCUAAUUAUUCAUGUGUGGGAGUGUUGUCAAAAAAGGCAGGGUGUGUGGUUCCUCUUGUUCCUCUGCAUCUAUUGUGGUUUCAAAGUUUAAAUGGGACACAAAUGUGGUUUGCAGUGCGUGGCAAGAUGCAGUUAGAGAAAAUUGGACUUUACAAGACAAACACAAGCAAAGGAAGGAGUGUGUGUGCAUGAACAGCGUGUUCCUGUUUGACGGGGGCAGGGGGAGGAAUACGCCAGGCUAACUUAGCAGGAUAAUAAUCAACACACAAAAAGCCUGCACGUAGAAAUGGCUUACUUCCAUGUAGUCCUAAAAAUAUACACAGCUGAGAAAGAUGGGGCUGUGGUAGAUCACAGAUAAUGCUGCCUUUAAGACAGAUGAGCCCGAAGUGUGAGAUGGCUCAAGGGAAACGGGGAAAGUGCUACAUAUUUUCAUGGAGAGCAAAUACAUUAACACAGCCACAAGCUUCUCCUUAUUGCUUUAAGGCCCCGUCAGGAAGUUGGAAAGGACCUGUUGCAUCCUCACAGCAUUUGUUCACUGUCUGUGUCAGAAGGUUUGUCCUUUAGAGUUUCUGUGCUCUGACCCUCAGGGGUAAGAAGAGGUGGCUCAAGACAUUUUGCUGCCUGGUGCAAAGGUCAAGAUGGCAACCCACCCACCCAUCCCAUCCCACAUACAGAAGGUGAUUGGACAAGCAGUUGACUUUUACAUCAGCAAUGCUGCUAAUGGCACAGCAUCCUUCACUGUGCCUGGGGGCAGUAGGAUAGCUUAGGAGGGGCAGAGCAGGCCACGUGACACACACAGCUCUUUUCUCCAGCACCUCUUUUCUGCUUGCUCACUGCUCUCUCUGUUGUCUGCUGGUGACGUGUUAGAGCUCAUUAACCUCUUAGGGAAUAAUGAGUGUUGCGGAAGGGCCCAGCAGAAAAAGCCUGUGUGUGUGUUAAAGGGUGGGUCUAAAAGUAAGGGAGAUAAGGUAAUUGGAGGGCUGAGUGUUGCUGGGGUAAAAUGCAUGUAUCAGUUUUUUGAUUGACAGGGCGAGUGCUUAAGACUCAGCGUUUUAGCUUCCAGUUUCACUUUUGCUAGGUGAUUGAAUCUCCCUCCCGCCCACCUCCUUUCCUUGGCAGGUUUAGAGUGACCUUGCUUUGCCCUGUGGGGCCGCCUCCAGUAGGAAUUUGGCCAUUUGGCUGAUUGGUUGUGGCCAUUUGGUUUUUGCCUACUGCUCAGCAAAUAGUCACAACUUGUUAGGUUGGCGGUUAUGCUUUGGUUGAUAAAUUUGGGAGGGGUAUCGCAUGGAGGUGCAUGCCCCUCAGUGAUGCUCUUAUAGAAGUAUUCCGUUAAAGGAAUCCUGGGGCUCCGGGGCUCUCGUCCUUACACCCCCGCAAUGGUGCGGGGCUGGGGCCAAUACAGAGCACGAGCCUUGGGGAACAUUUCUGGUGGAGGGGAGAUGGCCUGGACUCAGCUGUCUCCUCCCCCAUGGAGUGUUUACUUGACUUUCCUAUCGUAGGAAAGCCAGAGCUGGUCCUGUCCCACCGUGGGGCAGAAGACUAACCAAAGCCUAAGGCCAACACUCAAUUUAAAAUUUGUAAUUUAAAUAAAGUUGUGGCCAAAAUUAUGCCAAAAACAAAACCUAAAAUGAUGUGUCUGUCUGAGUUAUUGGGGGGAAUUUUCUGGGGGGCCUAGGCACGCAACAACACCCACAUGUGGAUGUGAGCAGAGGGACACAUCUGCAGUCACUGCUGAAGUGUGUAGCCUGGGCAUCAUUUCCAGGAUGCAUUUUUACCAGACGCAGGUGCCACUGUCUACUUUCGAGGUGCCCCAGAAGUGAUAGCCCUGCAGAGAUGGAGCAAAAGAAACAUGAAUACGUGUUCUUUUUCUAUGCAACUUUUA